rnacentral:miRNA from 1 species
UUAUUAGGAUGGUGCAAAAGUAAUUGCAGUUUUUGCAUUAAAAUUAACAGCAAAAAAUGCAAUUACUUUUACACCAACCUAA